AUUGAACGCUGGCGGAAUGCUUUACACAUGCAAGUCGAACGGCAGCACGGGGGCAACCUUGGUGGCGAGUGGCGAACGGGUGAGUAAUGUAUCGGAACGUACCCAGUCGUGGGGGAUAACUAUCCGAAAGGAUAGCUAAUACCGCAUACGUCCUGAGGGAGAAAGCAGGGGACCCUCGGGCCUUGCGCGAACGGAGCGGCCGAUGGCAGAUUAGGUAGUUGGUGGGAUAAAAGCUUACCAAGCCGACGAUCUGUAGCUGGUCUGAGAGGACGACCAGCCACACUGGGACUGAGACACGGCCCAGACUCUACGGGAGGCAGCAGUGGGGAAUUUUGGACAAUGGGCGAAAGCCUGAUCCAGCAAUGCCGCGUGCAGGAUGAAGGCUUCGGGUUGUAAACUGCUUUUGUACGGAACGAAAAGUCUCGGGAUAAUACCCUGGGACCAUGACGGUACCGUAAGAAUAAGCACCGGCUAACUACGUGC
rnacentral:rRNA from 1 species